AACGGAGGAUGCAAGCGUUAUCCGGAAUGAUUGGGCGUAGAGCGUCCGCAGGUGGCUGUGUAAGUCUGCUGUUAAAGAGUGAGGCUCAACCUCAUAAAGGCAGUGGAAACUACAUGGCUAGAGUGCGUUCGGGGCAGAGGGAAUUCCUGGUGUAGCGGUGAAAUGCGUAGAGAUCAGGAAGAACACCGGUGGCGAAAGCGCUCUGCUAGGCCGCAACUGACACUGAGGGACGAAAGCUAGGGGAGCGAAUGGG
rnacentral:rRNA from 1 species